rnacentral:rRNA from 2 species
AGCAGCCGCGGUAAUUCCAGCUCCAAUAGCGUAUAUUAAAGUUGUUGCAGUUAAAAAGCUCGUAGUUGAAUUUCGAGACCGGUUUACUGGUCGUGCUUUUGUACGUACUGGUAUUAUUGGUUUCUCCUUUCUGACGAAUCAUAAUGCCAUUAAUUUGGUGUUUUGGGGAAUCAGGACUGUUACUUUGAAAAAAUUAGAGUGUUUAAAGCAGGCUCACGCUUGAAUACAUUAGCAUGGAAUAACGAAAUAGGACGUUUGAUUUUAUUUUGUUGGUUUCUAGGAUCGACGUAAUGAUUAAUAGGGAUAGUUGGGGGCAUUAGUAUUCAAUUGUCAGAGGUGAAAUUCUUGGAUUUAUUGAAGACUAACUACUGCGAAAGCAUUUGCCAAGGAUGUUUUCAUUAAUCAAGAACGAAAGUUAGGGGAUCGAAGACGAUCAGAUACCGUCGUAGU